GACGAACGCUGGCGGCGUGCUUAACACAUGCAAGUCGAACGGAAAGGCCCUGCUGUUGUGGGGUGCUCGAGUGGCGAACGGGUGAGUAACACGUGAGUAACCUGCCCUUGACUUUGGGAUAACGUCAGGAAACUGGGGCUCAUACCGGAUAGGAUCUCCGGCUGCAUGGUGGGGGUUGGAAAGGUUGGGCGGUUGGGGAUGGACGGGCGCUUUGUCAGCUUGUGGGGGGGGUAGUGGCUUACAAAGGCUUUGACGGCUAGCCGGCCUGAGGGGGUGACCGGCAACAUUGGGACUGGGAUCCGGCCCAGACUCCUACGGGGGGAAGCAGUGGGGAAUAUUGCACAAUGGGCGGAAGCCUGAUGCAGCAAGGCGGCGUGCGGGAUGCCGGCCUUCGGGUUGUAACCGGCUUUCGCAGGUGACGAAGCGUGGGUGACGGUAAUGGGUAAAGAAGCACCGGCUAACUACGUG
rnacentral:rRNA from 1 species